ensembl:ncRNA F09E8.11 ncRNA
AAUGUCUUUUCAACUCUUAGUUCGUGUCAAAAAGCAACGCCUCGGCUUGACCCCCUCGGAGACAUUUACACAGACUGUAUAUACAUACCUCAAUGUAAAAAAUGCAUGCUUCUGACAAAAAACU